ensembl:lncRNA
GUCCACAGAAGGCAGCAGGCAACAGACGAGGGAAGGCAACAGAAGACAGCAGAUAACAGAAGACAGCGUGUAACAGAAGACAGCAGGCAACAGAAGACAGCGUGUAACAGCAGACAACAGAAGACAGCGUGUAACAGAAGACAGCGUGCAACAGAAGACAGCGUGUAACAGAAGACAGCAGGCAACAGAAGACAGCAGGUAACAGAAGGAGGCAGGUAAAUUAGUCUCCUCUUCUUCAUUUAAACUGAAGACCUGACAACUGCACUUCCACACCGACCACUGUGUGUGAGGAGAGGAGAGGGGGGGGAAACACGUGCAUACACACAUAUACACACUCCUUACAGAUCAUUUCAGUGUGUAUUUGAUAGUACACCAACACAAAACACACACCAGCAGCGCCCUUCUAAACUCAGCUGGUCCCUGCUGUCCUCGUGCCUCGUCGACAGAGGAGAAUACAUUCAGUGGAUUUGGGUUCAACAACACGAUGCAGCACACAAACACACUCUCACACACUACCUACUGCACACAGGACAGAACAGAGCCUUAGAAAUAGGCCUACAAAGUGACUGUUGAUAAACAGACUCAGAUUAUUAUUAUUUUUUAAAAGAGGCCAUUUUGUCACCAAAGGCUCCAUGAUAGUAAGAUUCUAAAUUGCAUUCUCACUGGAAUGGAACAAUGGUAACAACAUGGUGUCCAUUGUAAUUCUCUAGACGCAGAUUGAUUGGUAGUACAGUAUCAGUUCUGUUUUGUGAUCCUGCUAGCAAUGAGUAGGGUGUGAGUGAGAAUGACUCCCAGCAAACCAUUUUUUUACAAAAUAAAAAAAAUAAAAAAUACAUUCCAAAAGGGUCGCCGAGAGUCGUGUGGUCUGGAGUCCUUUGGUGUUUAUCAAACAACGGGAACAUUUAACAAAAAUAAAACCUGAAAAUUAAACAUCAAACAGUACAUUUCAAGGAAAUAAUUCAAAAAGCUAAAUGUUUCCAUUUUCGAGAUUGAGAACGUGUAAUAUGCAAAAACGGACACACAGAAAAGAUUGGUCGCGUUCCAGCCCGUCUUUACCACACACACACACAUGCAGAAAUCUCAGGAUUUUCACAACCCAACUGCAAAGAAAAAGGGUCCUGGAACAUGGCCAAUGAGACUCGUACUGAGGUCAUAACAGAAAGGUUCACUACAUUAUCACUAUGGUGGACACAUUUCACUGACACCCGCAUCACUAGGGGGUAAACAUUUCACUGUGACACCCGCAUCACUAUGGGGGACACAUUUCACUGUGACACCCACAUCACUAUGGGGAAACAUUUCACUGUGACACCCGCCUCACUAUGGGGGACACAUUUCACUGUGACACCCGCCUCACUAUGGGGGACACAUUUCACUGUGACACCCACAUCACUAUGGGGG